AACGGCGAGUGAAGCGGGAAGAGCUCAAAUUUGAAAGCUGGCACCUUCGGUGUCCGCGUUGUAAUCUCGAGAAGCGUUUUCCGCGCUGGACCAUGUACAAGUUCCUUGGAAUAGGACGUCAUAGAGGGUGAAAAUCCCGUACUUGACAUGGACGCCCAGUGCUUUGUGAUACGCUCUCCACGAGUCGAGUUGUUUGGGAAUGCAGCUCAAAAUGGGUGGUAAAUUCCAUCUAAAGCUAAAUAUUGGGGAGAGACCGAUAGCGAACAAGUACCGUGAGGGAAAGAUGAAAAGCACUUUGGAAAGAGAGUUAAAUAGUACGUGAAAUUGUCGAAAGGGAAGCGCUUGAAGUUAGACAUGCUUGUUGGGAUUCAGCCUUGCUUUUGCUUGGUGCAUUUCCCAGUUAGCAGGCCAGCAUCAGUUUUGGCUGUCGGAUAAGGGUAAGAAGAAUGUGGCCCCUUGGGGUGUUAUAGCUUCUUACUGGAUACGGCGGCUGGGACUGAGGACCGCAGUGCGCCUUUAUGGCGGGCCUUCGGGCACCUUCGCACUUAGGAUGCUGGCGUAAU
rnacentral:rRNA from 2 species